GCUCAUGCUUUGCCACAUGCUUCACAGAUGGGCCUUCUUUCAGUGGAGACUCUUUACCGAUCAAAUCAAUUCAAAAUACAGACAAAACAUCAAUAUCAUAGCCUUGUUAUUAUUAUUAUUAGUUCCUGCCGGGAACUAUAGCGGAGGCUUCAUUUAUUUAUGUCUGAUUAAUCUAAUGGCAAGCAACCAGCCAUAAGCUACUUUUUGCAAAUAUUUUCUUAUUUCCCAAUGUCUACCCAUCAGACUUGUGUAUUGUUUAUGUCAAUUAUUAGGGAGAAGUUUCGUGGCCCCUGCAUAUUGGACUUGCUGGCGGUUUGCAGGGGUGUGCUCCGUUUUCAACGAGAGAGAACGCACGUCUCCAGAGGCAAUCAGAGGGCCGUCAAAGCAGUAUUUCCGACGGACAAUAUUUUCGUCCGCAUGUCGAGGAGAGCUGGACACUAGGGUAGAGUGAGGGCAUUGAGUUUUGUGAUAUUGGUGAUUAAAUAUGCACAGAGCUGAAUAAAAUGCUCCAUUAUCUCGGUAUAUGCUAUUUCAGCUUCCUUCACUGGUCUCCAUGCUAAUUUCUGUGUGGGAGUGACCGCUGCAUGCAGUGGGAUGGUUCUAUGGCAUUCUGGAGAAAUGAGUCUUUUAUUUGAGAAAAAGAAGGGAAAACAUUCUCCCAAGCAAUCUGCAAGACAACGGAAGAAGAAGACAUGGCACAAAUGCAGGGCAUUUGUAAAAGGAAAACCGUGCAGUGAUGGCAGGGUAGUGGAGGAUUGGAGUCGGUGUUGGCUAUUGACAUAUAAAUUCCCUAAAUUCCCUCUUGAUGCUAAGGAAAUAUGACAGGUCUCAAAAUCUUCUUCUCCAAGUCUGGAAUAGGUAAAGUGUUCUCUAUUCUUUUCAUCUCUUUUUGCUCAAAAAACUUUAGCGGCAGAAAUCGUGGUGACUGCAUGGGAGAGAGGAAACAGAGCAUUGAGGGUAAUGUCCAAGUAUUUUCAUCUCUUUCUCAAAUUUCAUUCUUCGGUUGGUGCAGGUUGUUCGAGAUAGGAUAGUGGGCAGUGACAAUGAAGGGCGCCAAAAUAUCCAGUGGUAGUGUAAUGCAUCUUAUAAAUUUUAGAUAUGCAAAGUGAGUUUUAGUUAUUUGUUGGUGGGAAGAUUGAACCAAUUUUUGCAGGAUUUUUUUAUUAUUUGAGAUUAACUUCUCCUACAAAUAUUAUUGAGGUAGGUUUCAUUUAUUUCAUCUCUUUAAAU